rnacentral:lncRNA from 1 species
CACAAAUGUUCCUCAGCUUCCUCUGUUAUGCGGCUACUUUAUUUUCAUCAAAAAGGAAUGCUUUAUUUCCAGCUUGAUACGUUUUGGGACAAGGAACGAUCAGUGCUGGGUUUAAUGAAUGACGGAAAGUGCAGGACCUGUGAACAGCGUGGAGCCACGUACCCCUGCCCGGGUGGAAAAACUUGCCACGCAGUCGUCACACUUCCUUAUGAUCGCACAUCACCUCAGGAAGAGUGUGCCCCUUGAUGACGCUUCGAAAGAGCCGAGGCCGAGCUCUGCGCGCACAGCCCAGCAGCUGGAAACCAGGCGGCUCUUGCGUUCCAGGCGCAAACCUACUCGCUUCCCUCCUCAGAACCUGAUUCUGCAAGAAACGAUGCAAAACUUGGUGAACUCUCUUUCCAGUUGUGUUAGAUUUCAGCGAGCUCCGAAUUUGACGUGAUGGCUUGCCCUUAAAGAGCUGGCUGCGCUUGACAAGCAUGUGGCAGUACUUCAUUAACCACCAGCAGCCCCUCCCAGCGCAGCCUCCCUUAGGUGGGGUGUUUGUUCAGCGCACGCAAUUAUCUCUCUGUCGUUCUGUCUCGUAUUGAGUCAUGUGGAAAAAUAUGAUUAAAACAUGAACAUCUACAAAUGAUUCAGAAUAACAAGAGAGGAAAGGCCAUUGUUUUUUUGCACUGACUAUAC